rnacentral:rRNA from 1 species
UACGUAGGGUGCGAGCGUUGUCCGGAAUUACUGGGCGUAAAGAGCUCGUAGGUGGUUUGUCGCGUUGUCCGUGAAAACUCACAACUCAAUUGUGGGCGUGCGGGCGAUACGGGCAGACUGGAGUACUGCAGGGGAGACUGGAAUUCCUGGUGUAGCGGUGGAAUGCGCAGAUAUCAGGAGGAACACCGGUGGCGAAGGCGGGUCUCUGGAACGGUACUGACGCUGAGACGCGAAAGCGUGGGGAGCGAACAGG